rnacentral:rRNA from 1 species
UACGUAGGCAGCAAACGUUGUUCGGAAUUACUGGGCGUAAAGAGUGUGUAGGCGGUUCUGUAAGUUUGGUGUGAAAUCUCCCGGCUUAACUGGGAGGGUGCGCCGAAAACUGCAAGGCUUGAGUGCUGGAGAGGAUAGCGGAAUUCCUGGUGUAGCGGUGAAAUGCGUAGAUAUCAGGAGGAACACCGGCGGUGUAGACGGCUAUCUGGACAGUAACUGACGCUGAGACACGAAAGCGUGGGGAGCAACCAGG